ACGAGAGGUUCUUUCGGGAACUGGAGAGUGGCGCACGGGUGAGUAACGCGUGGGGACCUACCUCUUAGUGGGGGAUAACGGUUGGAAACGACCGCUAAUACCGCAUACGCCCUUCGGGGGAAAGAUUUAUCGCUAAGAGAUGGACCCGCGUUGGAUUAGAUAGUUGGUGAGGUAACGGCUCACCAAGUCAGCGAUCCAUAGCUGGUUUGAGAGGAUGAUCAGCCACACUGGGACUGAGACACGGCCCAGACUCCUACGGGAGGCAGCAGUGGGGAAUAUUGGACAAUGGGCGGAAGCCUGAUCCAGCCAUGCCGCGUGAGUGAAGAAGGCCUUCGGGUUGUAAAGCUCUUUCAGAUGCGAAGAUGAUGACGGUAACAUCAGAAGAAGCCCCGGCUAAUUUCGUGCCAGCAGCCGCGGUAAUACGAAAGGGGCAAGCGUUGUUCGGAUUUACUGGGCGUAAAGGGCACGCAGGCGGUCUUGCCGGUCAGGGGUGAAAGCCCGGGGCUCAACCCCGGAACUGCCUCUGAUACUGCAGGACUAGAGACUAGGAGAGGGUGGUGGAAUUCC
rnacentral:rRNA from 1 species